rnacentral:rRNA from 1 species
AUUGAACGCUGGCGGCAUGCUUUACACAUGCAAGUCGAACGGCAGCGCGGGCUUCGGCCUGGCGGCGCGUGGCGCACGGGUGAGGAAUACAUCGGAACGUGCCCAGUAGUGGGGGAUAGCUCGGCGAAAGCCGGAUUAAUACCGCAUACGAGCUGAGGGUGAAAGCGGGGGAUCUUCGGACCUCGCGCUAUUGGAGCGGCCGAUGGCAGAUUAGCUAGUUGGUGGGGUAAAGGCCUACCAAGGCGACGAUCUGUAGCUGGUCUGAGAGGACGACCAGCCACACUGGGACUGGGACACGGCCCAGACUCCUACGGGAGGCAGCAGUGGGGAAUUUUGGACAAUGGGCGAAAGCCUGAUCCAGCAAUGCCGCGUGUGUGAUGAAGGCCUUCGGGUUGUAAAGCACUUUUGGCGGGAACGAAAAGGACUGUGCCAAUACCACGGUUCGAUGACGGUACCCGCAGAAUAAGCACCGGCUAACUACGUG